rnacentral:rRNA from 1 species
GUGGGGAAUUUUGGACAAUGGGGGCAACCCUGAUCCAGCAAUGCCGCGUGCAGGAAGAAGGCCUUCGGGUUGUAAACUGCUUUUGUACGGAACGAAACGGUCCUGGUUAAUACCUGGGGCUAAUGACGGUACCGUAAGAAUAAGCACCGGCUAACUACGUGCCAGCAGCCGCGGUAAUACGUAGGGUGCAAGCGUUAAUCGGAAUUACUGGGCGUAAAGCGUGCGCAGGCGGUUUUGUAAGACAGGCGUGAAAUCCCCGGGCUCAACCUGGGAAUGGCGCUUGUGACUGCAAGGCUGGAGUGCGGCAGAGGGGGAUGGAAUUCCGCGUGUAGCAGUGAAAUGCGUAGAUAUGCGGAGGAACACCGAUGGCGAAGGCAAUCCCCUGGACCUGCACUGACGCUCAUGCACGAAAGCGUGGGGAGCAAACAGGAUUAGAAACCCUAGUAGUCC